AGAGUUUGAUCCUGGCUCAGGACGAACGCUGGCGGCGCGCUUAAUACAUGCAAGUCGAACGGACGAGGAGGAGCUUGCUCCUCCAAGUUAGUGGCGGACGGGUGAGUAACACGUGAGUAAUCUGCCUUAGAGUGGGGAAUAACAACCGGAAACAGUUGCUAAUACCGCAUAAUGUCGCGGGAUGGCAUCUUCCUGUGACCAAAGCUUUAUGUGCUCUAAGAUGAGCUCGCGUCCGAUUAGAUAGUUGGUGAGGUAACGGCCCACCAAGUCAACGAUCGGUAGCCGGACUGAGAGGUUGGCCGGCCACAUUGGGACUGAGAUACGGCCCACACUCCUACGGGAGGCAGCAGUAGGGAAUAUUACGCAAUGGGGGCAACCCUGACCUAGCGACGCCGCGUGAAGGAUGAAGGUUUUCGGAUUGAAAACUUCUUUUAAGAGGGACGAUAAUGACGGUACCUCUUGAAUAAGCCACGGAUAACUACGUGCCAGCAGCCGCGGUAAUACGUAGGUGGCGAGCGUUGUCCGGAUUUACUGGGUGUAAAGGGCGAGUAGGCGGGAUUACAAGUCAGAUGUGAAAUCCGGAGGCUCAACUUCGGGGCUGCAUAUGACACCUGUAAUUCUUGAGUGAUGGACAGGGAGGCGAAAUUCCCGGUGCAGCGGUGGAAUGCAUAGAGAUCGGGAGGAACACCAGUGGCGAAGGCGGCCUGCUGGACAUUAACUGACGCUGAGGAGCGAAAGUGUGGGGAGCAAACAGGAUUAGAUACCCUGGUAGUCCACACCGUAAACGAUGGAUACUAGGUGUGCGGGGACUGACCCCCUGCGUGCCGCAGUUAACACAAUAAGUAUCCCACCUGGGGAGUACGGUCGCAAGAUUGAAACUCAAAGGAAUUGACGGGCACCCGCACAAGCAGUGGAGUAUGUUGAUUAAUUCGACGCAACGCGAAGAACCUUACCAGGGUUUGACAUCCAGAGAAUUAUGUAGAAAUACAAAAGUGCCCUUCGGGGAACUCUGAGACAGGUGGUGCAUGGUUGUCGUCAGCUCGUGUCGUGAGAUGUUGGGUUAAGUCCCGCAACGAGCGCAACCCUUAUUGUUAGUUGCUACCAUUUAGUUGAGCACUCUAGCGAGACUGCCCGGGUUAACCGGGAGGAAGGUGGGGAUGACGUCAAAUCAUCAUGCCCCUUAUGUCUAGGGCUACACACGUGCUACAAUGGCCGGUACAAUUAGAAGCUAAGCCGCGAGGUGGAGCAAAACUGAAAAACCGGUCUCAGUUCGGAUUGUAGGCUGAAACUCGCCUACAUGAAGCUGGAGUUGCUAGUAAUCGCGAAUCAGCAUGUCGCGGUGAAUACGUUCCCGGGCCUUGUACACACCGCCCGUCA
rnacentral:rRNA from 1 species